ensembl:snoRNA Snord37 small nucleolar RNA, C/D box 37
ACACGUGAUGACUGAAAUUCUUCACUUUGACCUGAUGUCUGUUGAAGAAACUCUGUGUCUGAGC